AAGCAUGGUGAGAGCAUUUCUUAAGCAUCUCCUUCAUUCUCUCCCAACUCUUAUAAACAGAUUCUCCUUCUAACUGAGUAAAAGAAGUAAUAUCAUUUAUAAGCAU